rnacentral:rRNA from 2 species
UUUAUUGGAGAGUUUGAUCCUGGCUCAGGACGAACGCUGGCGGCGUGCCUAAUACAUGCAAGUCGAGCGGACCUUUCAAGAGCUUGCUCUUGAAAGGUUAGCGGCGGACGGGUGAGUAACACGUGGGCAACCUGCCCUGUAGACUGGGAUAACUUCGGGAAACCGGAGCUAAUACUGGAUAAUCAAUGACACCACAUGGUGUSAUUGUAAAAGUUGGGUUUACCUAACACUACGGGAUGGGCCCGCGGCGCAUUAGCUAGUUGGUGRGGUAAUGGCUCACCAAGGCGACGAUGCGUAGCCGACCUGAGAGGGUGAUCGGCCACACUGGGACUGAGACACGGCCCAGACUCCUACGGGAGGCAGCAGUAGGGAAUCUUCCGCAAUGGACGAAAGUCUGACGGAGCAACGCCGCGUGAGUGAUGAAGGCCUUCGGGUCGUAAAGCUCUGUUGUUAGGGA